GUAGCUUAGACACUAAAACAUUAUGGGAUUCAACAAGCCAUUCAGAUUUGGCUCCUCUUUCGAUGUCACAUGCAGGCUCAUUAGAAUAUACAAACCUCCAUCUGAGUAUUUCCACCUACAGCUUGAGAAAUACCUAAGGUGCGCCAUA